rfam:Felis catus isolate Cinnamon breed Abyssinian chromosome C1, whole genome shotgun sequence.
GCCUGGGUGGCUCAGUCAGUUGAGCGUCUGACUUCAGCUCAGAUCAUGAUCUCACAGUUCGUGGGCUCGAUCCCCGCGUCGGGCU